AUGGUGUCUCCCGCAGCUGGUUCGACCGCUCCCGCCGGGAGUGGGCGAGGCAAGAGGGAACCCGGUGGGAGUCCGGGACUGCCCCGCAGCGGUGAGUGGGAACGACCGCCGUCAUCACGCACUGGGCUCAUCGAGGCCUGGGAAGCGACGGCCAGUAGGCGACCGGGUCUCCCGGGCGUGCCCGCGAGUCCGAAGACCUGCCAGCGCGCCGCACGCGUCG
rnacentral:ncRNA from 18 species